rnacentral:misc_RNA from 1 species
UACGUCGAUCCUAGAAACCAACAAAAUAGAAUCAAACGUCCUAUUUCGUUAUUCCAUGCUAAUGUAUUCAAGCGUGAGCCUGCUUUAAACACUCUAAUUUUUUCAAAGUAACAGUCCUGAUUCCCCAAGACACCAAAUUAAUGACAUCAUGGUUCGUCAGAAGGUAGGAAUCAAUAAUACCAGUACGUACAAUAGCACGACCAAUA